UACGUAGGGGGCAAGCGUUGUCCGGAUUUAUUGGGCGUAAAGAGCGUGUAGGCGGCCAGGUAGGUCGGUUGUGAAAACUCGAGGCUCAACCUCGAGAUGUCGACCGAAACCAUCUGGCUAGAGUCCGGAAGAGGAGAAUGGAAUUCCCGGUGUAGCGGUGAAAUGCGCAGAUAUCGGGAAGAACACCGGUGGCGAAGGCGGCGUUCUGGACUGUCUCUGACACUGAAGAACGAAAGCCAGGGGAGCAAACGGG
rnacentral:rRNA from 1 species